rnacentral:piRNA from 1 species
UGGAAAAAGGAACCACGAGGAACUCCAACA